UACGGAGGAUGCGAGCGUUAUCCGGAUUUAUUGGGUUUAACGGGUGCGUAGGCGGACUGUCAAGUCAGCGGUAAAAUUGAGAGGCUCAACCUCUUCCCGCCGUUGAAACUGGUGGUCUUGAGUGGAUGAGAAGUACGCGGAAUGCGUGGUGUAGCGGUGAAAUGCAUAGAUAUCACGCAGAACUCCGAUUGCGAAGGCAGCGUACCGGCAUCCAACUGACGCUGAGGCACGAAAGCGUGGGGAUCAAACAGG
rnacentral:rRNA from 1 species